UACGUAGGGUGCGAGCGUUGUCCGGAAUUAUUGGGCGUAAAGCGCUCGUAGGCGGUCUGUCGCGUCGAUCGUGAAAACUUGGGGCUUAACCCUGAGCUUGCGGUCGAUACGGGCAUGACUGGAGUUCGGCAGGGGAGACUGGAAUUCCUGGUGUAGCGGUGAAAUGCGCAGAUAUCAGGAGGAACACCGGUGGCGAAGGCGGGUCUCUGGGCCGAUACUGACGCUGAGGAGCGAAAGCGUGGGGAGCGAACAGG
rnacentral:rRNA from 1 species